AUUUUUUUUCCAGGGCUGCUUUGGAUUCCCAGGGAUUCCCAGUUUAGCUCUGCCAGCGAGUGCACUUUACCGCUGAAUCAUCUGUGUGAGCUGUUACACGCGUCUGGGAGCUGCUGUUGACCGGUACUAGUAGUCUAGAGAUUGGGACAUGGGGUAUAUGCUCAGCUAUCUGUAUAAUACAGAUCUGUGUGUAUAUAAUAUCCC